GGGGAAUUUUCCGCAAUGGGCGAAAGCCUGACGGAGCAAUACCGCGUGAGGGAGGAAGGCUCUUGGGUUGUAAACCUCUUUUCUCAGGGUAAGAAGAAAUGACGGUACCUGAGGAAUAAGCAUCGGCUAACUCCGUGCCAGCAGCCGCGGUAAUACGGAGGAUGCAAGCGUUAUCCGGAAUGAUUGGGCGUAAAGGGUCCGCAGGUGGCAUUGGAAGUCUGCUGUUAAAGAGUCUAGCUCAACUAGAUAAGAGCAGUGGAAACUACAAAGCUAGAGUUUGGUCGGGGCAGAAGGAAUUCCUGGUGUAGCGGUGAAAUGCGUAGAUAUCAGGAAGAACACCAGUGGCGAAGGCGUUCUGCUAGGCCGAGACUGACACUGAGGGACGAAAGCUAGGGGAGCGAAUGGGAUUAGAUACCCCAGNUAGUC
rnacentral:rRNA from 1 species